rnacentral:rRNA from 1 species
CACUCUGGGAUAAGCCCGGGAAACUGGGUCUAAUACCGGAUACGACACUCCGAGGCAUCUUGGGGUGUGGAAAGUUCCGGCGGUGCAGGAUGAGCCCGCGGCCUAUCAGCUUGUUGGUGGGGUAAUGGCCUACCAAGGCGACGACGGGUAGCCGGCCUGAGAGGGUGACCGGCCACACUGGGACUGAGACACGGCCCAGACUCCUACGGGAGGCAGCAGUGGGGAAUAUUGCACAAUGGGCGAAAGCCUGAUGCAGCGACGCCGCGUGAGGGAUGACGGCCUUCGGGUUGUAAACCUCUUUCAGCAGGGAAGAAGCGAAAGUGACGGUACCUGCAGAAGAAGCACCGGCUAACUACGUGCCAGCAGCCGCGGUAAUACGUAGGGUGCGAGCGUUGUCCGGAAUUAUUGGGCGUAAAGAGCUCGUAGGCGGUUUGUCGCGUCGAUUGUGAAAGCCCGGGGCUUAACCCUGGGUCUGCAGUCGAUACGGGCAGGCUAGAGUUCGGCAGGGGAGACUGGAAUUCCUGGUGUAGCGGUGAAAUGCGCAGAUAUCAGGAGGAACACCGGUGGCGAAGGCGGGUCUCUGGGCCGAUACUGACGCUGAGGAGCGAAAGCGUGGGGAGCGAACAGGAUUAGAUACCCUGGUAGUCCACGCCGUAAACGGUGGGCACUAGGUGUGGGCAACAUUCCACGUUGUCCGUGC